CACGUAGGGGGCGAGCGUUGUCCGGAUUUAUUGGGCGUAAAGAGCUCGUAGGCGGUUCGAUAAGUCGGGUGUGAAAACUCUGGGCUCAACUCAGAGACGCCACCUGAUACUGCUGUGGCUAGAGUCCGGUAGGGGAGCGUGGAAUUCCUGGUGUAGCGGUGAAAUGCGCAGAUAUCAGGAGGAACACCGGUGGCGAAGGCGGGCUCUGGCGGCGAUACUGACGCUGGAGGAGCG
rnacentral:rRNA from 1 species